GUAGGGAAUCUUCCACAAUGGACGAAAGUCUGAUGGAGCAACGCCGCGUGAGUGAAGAAGGUUCUCGGAUCGUAAAACUCUGUUGUGAGGGAAGAACAAGUACCGGAGUAACUGCCGGUACCUUGACGGUACCUCAUUAGAAAGCCACGGCUAACUACGUGCCAGCAGCCGCGGUAAUACGUAGGUGGCAAGCGUUGUCCGGAAUCAUUGGGCGUAAAGCGCGCGCAGGCGGUCCCUUAAGUCUGAUGUGAAAGCCCGCGGCUCAACCGUGGAGGGUCAUUGGAAACUGGGGGACUUGAGUGCAGAAGGGGAAAGCGGAAUUCCAAGUGUAGCGGUGAAAUGCGUAGAGAUUUGGAGGAACACCAGUGGCGAAGGCGGCUUUCUGGUCUGUAACUGACGCUGAGGCGCGAAAGCGUGGGGAGCAAACAGGAUUAGAUACCCGAGUAGUCC
rnacentral:rRNA from 1 species